rnacentral:rRNA from 1 species
UCAGAACGUACGCUGGCGGCACGCNUAAUACAUGCAAGUCGAACGAAGUAGCAAUACUUAGUGGCAGACGGGUGAGUAACAUGUAGGUAUCUUCCCAUUGGUGAGGAAUAACACGAGGAAACUUGUGCUAAUACCUCAUAAGUCUUUACGGAGAAAGCUUUAUGCGCCGAUGGAUGAGCCUGCACUUGAUUAGUUUGUUGGUAGGGUAAUGGCCUACCAAGACAAUGAUCAAUAGCUGAUUUGAGAGGAUGAUCAGCCACAUUGGGACUGAGACACGGCCCAAACUCCUACGGGAGGCAGCAGUAGGGAAUCUUGCACAAUGGGGGAAACCCUGAUGCAGCGAUGCCGCGUGAGUGAAGAAGGCCUUUGGGUUGUAAAGCUCUUUCGUCGGGGAAGAAAAUGACUGUACCCGAAUAAGAAGGUCCGGCUAACUUCGUGCCAGCAGCCGCGGUAAUACGAAGGGACCUAGCGUAGUUCGGAAUUACUGGGCUUAAAGAGUUCGUAGGUGGUUAAAAAAGUUGGUGGUGAAAUCCCAGAGCUUAACUCUGGAACUGCCAUCAAAACUUUUUAGCUAGAGUAUGAUAGAGGAAAGCAGAAUUUCUAGUGUAGAGGUGAAAUUCGUAGAUAUUAGAAAGAAUACCAAUUGCGAAGGCAGCUUUCUGGAUCAUUACUGACACUGAGGAACGAAAGCAUGGGUAGCGAAGAGGAUUAGAUACCCUCGUAGUCCAUGCCGUAAACGAUGUGUGUUAGACGUUGGAAAUUUAUUUUCUGUGUCGCAGCGAAAGCAAUAAACWCACCGCCUGGGGAGUACGANCCGCAAGGUUAAAACUC